AGUGAACGCUGGCGGUAGGCCUAACACAUGCAAGUCGAACGGCAGCACAGAGGAGCUUGCUCCUUGGGUGGCGAGUGGCGGACGGGUGAGGAAUACAUCGGAAUCUAUUCUGUCGUGGGGGAUAACGUAGGGAAACUUACGCUAAUACCGCAGACGACCUACGGGUGAAAGCAGGGGAUCUUCGGACCUUGCGCGAUUGAAUGAGCCGAUGUCGGAUUAGCUAGUUGGCGGGGUAAAGGCCCACCAAGGCGACGAUCCGUAGCUGGUCUGAGAGGAUGAUCAGCCACACUGGAACUGAGACACGGUCCAGACUCCUACGGGAGGCAGCAGUGGGGAAUAUUGGACAAUGGGCGCAAGCCUGAUCCAGCCAUACCGCGUGGGUGAAGAAGGCCUUCGGGUUGUAAAGCCCUUUGUUGGGAAAGAAAUCCAUCUGGUUAAUACCCGGGUGGGAUGACGGUACCCAAAGAAUAAGCACCGGCUAACUUCGUGCCAGCCGCCGCGGUAA
rnacentral:rRNA from 1 species